UAGGGAAUCUUCGGCAAUGGGGGCAACCCUGACCGAGCAACGCCGCGUGAGUGAAGAAGGUUUUCGGAUCGUAAAGCUCUGUUGUAAGAGAAGAACGUGUGUGAGAGGGGAAAGUUCACACAGUGACGGUAACUUACCAGAAAGGGACGGCUAACUACGUGCCAG
rnacentral:rRNA from 1 species